UGGUGGGGAGGGUUCCUGGCACAGUGAUUUGGUGCACAAAUAUAAACGAAAAUCACAUUGCCAGGGAUUUCCACCCUUAC
rfam:Salmo salar isolate Sally breed double haploid chromosome ssa10, whole genome shotgun sequence.